UACGUAGGCAGCAAGCGUUGUUCGGAAUUACUGGGCGUAAAGAGUGUGUAGGCGGUGUUCUAAGUUUGGUGUGAAAUCUCCCGGCUUAACUGGGAGGGUGCGCCGAAAACUGGAAUGCUAGAGUAUGGGAGAGGUAAGCGGAAUUCCUGGUGUAGCGGUGAAAUGCGUAGAUAUCGUAAGGAAGACCAGUGGCGAAGGCGGGUCUCUGGACAGUUCCUGACGCUGAGGCACGAAGGUCAGGGGAGACAAACGGG
rnacentral:rRNA from 1 species